rnacentral:rRNA from 1 species
GUCUACGGCCUUGCUACCCUGAACAAGCCCGAUCCUGUCUGAUCUCAGAAGCUAAGCAGGGUCGGAUCUGGUUAGUACUUGCAUGGGAGACCAUCUAGGAAGACCAGGUGCUGUAGGCA